rfam:Mycobacterium llatzerense strain CLTC14 Mllat_contig000005, whole genome shotgun sequence.
UGGCCGUCGGGUCGAUCUCGCGGCACACCACGAGAUAGUUGCGCAGCGCGAUGGCGUGCAGGUGCUC